AUUUUGAUGCCUUUACCAGCAUUAAACAAAAGGACUCCACAUUAACUUGGACAGUAAAAUGGCUCCAUUCUGUAGCUGAUGAGCUUACUAUUUAUGGAUGUCUAAAUAUAUUUUUGUUUCCUUGUAGGAAGAGGAGUCUGUCUAAAUAUCUUAUUUUGUAACCUACAGAAAUUCACAGAAGGAUGUCUUCUAGUAAUAUCUCCUUUGAAUUAUUUCCUUAACUAUGAAGAUGCAAGUAAACAAGCAAUUUUUUUACAGUGGACAGGUCAUAACUUUUAAAUGGCCAACCUGUCUGUCCUUUCAAGAAAAAGCCAGGACUGCUGUGCAUACAUGGAGGACUUUUUUCCUCUCUCCCCUUGCUUUUGCUGCCAACUGCUGCAUCUCAUAUCUGGGAAAGAACAGGUGCAGAGCCAUCUUGGGAUUGCAGUGCAUUGCCAGCAGCUUGCAGGGGUCCUGCGAGGAAUUACAUGUUGCUGCUGAUGGAGGUUUCUUCCUCCUGUUUGCUGGGACAAUCAUGCUGGUGUUUAUGGCCCUCUCAAAAGAAACUUCAAGAAAUGUAAGGACAAACUGGGGAGGAUCGAGUGACGCAGAGAAGGAAGGAUCCAACGUGUAGCAAACAUAACUUCUGAAAAAGAAAUAGGUUAUUGUUGGUAUUAAGAAUGAAGAAGGCAGGACUUAAGCCAUGGCAGGUCUUCAAAUGACUUAAAGAAGACUGAAGAAAAAUGCAAGAAACUUCCCCAACCUCCAAGGAAGUUGAGCUUCUGUUGCAGAAAGUGAGAUUUAUAUACAGCCUUAAUAAAACCUUCCCAAAGUAAGGACA
rnacentral:lncRNA from 1 species